CUUCACUUGCUUGUUUGUGAAACUGCAACAUAUUGAACAGUAAAUGGUCACAGUAUAAGACAAGAGUUUUUGGUCGUCAUUUGAAGCCAUUCCACUACAGCCAUAGUUACUCUCCAUGGCUGAUAAAAUCCAAUGAUAGUACGUGUAGCAAGUCUAA